GACGAACGCUGGCGGCGUGCCUAACACAUGCAAGUCGAACGGUCCGGCACUCAAUGUUUACAUUGAGUGCCGGAUAGUGGCGGACGGGUGAGUAACGCGUGGAUAACCUGCCCAUAAGAGGGGAAUAACAGUUGGAAACGACUGCUAAUACCGCAUAAGCUAGCAAGGGCGAUGGCCCUAGCUAGAAAAGAUGGCCUCUUGACAAAGCUAUCGCUUAUGGAUGGGUCCGCGUCUGAUUAGCUAGUUGGUAGGGUAACGGCCUACCAAGGCGACGAUCAGUAGCCGGCCUGAGAGGGUGGACGGCCACACUGGGACUGAGACACGGCCCAGACUCCUACGGGAGGCAGCAGUGGGGAAUAUUGCGCAAUGGGGGAAACCCUGACGCAGCGACGCCGCGUGAGCGAAGAAGGCCUUAGGGUUGUAAAGCUCUGUUUUAAGGGACGAAUGUUCAUGGGAGUAAAACGCUCAUGAAAUGACGGUACCUUAAGAGGAAGCCCCGGCUAACUACGUGCCAGCAGCCGCGGUAAGACGUAGGGGGCGAGCGUUGUCCGGAAUUACUGGGCGUAAAGAGCACGUACGCGGGGACUUAAGUCAGGUGUGAAAGACCGGAGCUCAACUUCGGGGUGGCACCUGAGACUGGGUUUCUUGAGGGCAGGAGAGGAAAGUAGAAUUCCUGGUGUAGCGGUGAAAUGCGUAGAAAUCAGGAGGAAUACCAGUGGCGAAGGCGGCUUUCUGGACUGACCCUGACGCUGAGGUGCGAAAGCGUGGGUAGCAAACAGGAUUAGAUACCCUGGUAGUCCACGCUGUAAACGAUGGAUACUAGGUGUAGGAGGUAUCGACCCCUUCUGUGCCGCAGCUAACGCAAUAAGUAUCCCGCCUGGGGAGUACGAUCGCAAGGUUGAAACUCAAAGGAAUUGACGGGGGCCCGCACAAGCGGUGGAGCAUGUGGUUUAAUUCGAUGCAACGCGAAGAACCUUACCAGGUCUUGACAUCCAAAGAACCCUGUGGAAACACGGGGGUGCCUUCGGGAGCUUUGAGACAGGUGGUGCAUGGUUGUCGUCAGCUCGUGUCGUGAGAUGUUGGGUUAAGUCCCGCAACGAGCGCAACCCUUGCUAUUAGUUGCUAACAGGGAAGCUGAGCACUCUAAUGGGACUGCCGGUGACAAGCCGGAGGAAGGUGGGGAUGACGUCAAAUCAUCAUGCCCUUUAUGAUCUGGGCUACACACGUGCUACAAUGGAUGGUACAGAGAGCAGCGAGACCGUGAGGUGGAGCGAAUCUCAAAAAGCCAUUCUCAGUUCGGAUUGUAGUCUGCAACUCGACUGCAUGAAGUCGGAAUCGCUAGUAAUCGCGAAUCAGCAUGUCGCGGUGAAUGCGUUCCCGGGCCUU
rnacentral:rRNA from 1 species